UACGUAGGGCGCAAGCGUUAUCCGGAAUUAUUGGGCGUAAAGGGCGCGCAGGCGGCGGUGCUGGCCCGGCGUGAAAGCCCCCGGCUCAACCGGGGAGGGUCGUCGGGGACCGCACCGCUAGAGGACGGUAGAGGCGUGUGGAAUUCCGGGUGUAGUGGUGAAAUGCGUAGAGAUCCGGAGGAACACCAGUGGCGAAGGCGACACGCUGGGCCGUACCUGACGCUAAAGCGCGACAGCAUGGGGAGCAAACGGG
rnacentral:rRNA from 1 species